UACGUAGGGGGCGAGCGUUAUCCGGAUUUACUGGGCGUAAAGCGCGCUAAGGCGGCCCGCUGAGUUGGUGGUGAAAUACUGGGGCUCAACCCCGGAACUGCCUCCAAUACUGGCGGGCUGGAGUGCGGGAGAGGAAGGUGGAAUUCCCGGUGUAGUAGUGAAAUGCGUAGAUAUCGGGAGGAACACCAGUGGCGAAGGCGGCCUUCUGGCCCGCAACUGACGCUGUAGCGCGAAAGCGUGGGGAG
rnacentral:rRNA from 1 species